rnacentral:rRNA from 1 species
CGCCAGACUCCUACGGGAGGCAGCAGUGGGGAAUAUUGCACAAUGGGGGAAACCCUGAUGCAGCGACGCCGCGUGAGUGAGGAAGUAUUUCGGUAUGUAAAGCUCUAUCAGCAGGGAAGAAAAUGACGGUACCUGACUAAGAAGCCCCGGCUAACUACGUGCCAGCAGCCGCGGUAAUACGUAGGGGGCAAGCGUUAUCCGGAUUUACUGGGUGUAAAGGGAGCGUAGACGGCAUGGCAAGUCAGAUGUGAAAGCCCGGGGCUCAACCCCGGGACUGCAUUUGAAACUGUCAGGCUGGAGUGCAGGAGAGGUAAGUGGAAUUCCUAGUGUAGCGGUGAAAUGCGUAGAUAUUAGGAGGAACACCAGUGGCGAAGGCGGCUUACUGGACUGUAACUGACGUUGAGGCUCGAAAGCGUGGGGAGCAAACAGGAUUAGAUACCCUCGUAA